rnacentral:lncRNA from 1 species
GGCUGCCUGAGAGUAGCGAGUGACAGGUAAGGGCUCUGAACCUUCCUGCGUGCUACCCAAGGAGUGCCUAGGGCUACCAGGAGGCCCAGGGAGGAACCUUGAGACCUGAGAAAGGCUUUUCUUCCCCGAGAGGACCACUGCUCAGGCUCAGAGGCCAUGGGGUGAAGUGCACAAAAAAGUGGGCGUCCAGCCAUGCUCUAAGUCCCCCGAAGAUGAAGACCAGGGAGCAGCUUCCUCCAAUGAAGCAGCAGCAAUCAGAGGACCAGGAGGCUGAAGCCCUGAGCCCAGCCAGAGGCAGGAUCAGCCAAGUCUGGGACAGGCUUCAAUUAUUUUAGGCAGAGCUUCUGGUUCCUGGGCCUUCAGACUUGGACUAGAACUUCACUACCAGCUUUCCUGGGUCUCCAGCUUGCAGAGAGCAGAUCGCAGAACUUCUUAGCCUCCAUAAUCACAAGAACGUGUUUGCUUCCCCUUCCACCAUGAUUGUAAGUUUCCUGAGGCCUCCCCAGUCCUGCAGAACUGCUUUGAAGAAGACCACUGCGUCGGUAUUUGUGAAAUGUUUUGAGCCUCUGGAUUUAAAUAAGAUGGAAAACCAAAGCUCAGGGAGUUUUACAUGGGCAGGCAGCUGGUGAGGGCUGAGACUGGAGCCAGGCCAGUGGUCUUCAAAGGCUUUAGUCAAACUUUUUGACAGAUAUAAGAAAACCGAACUAAGGAAAAUACUUUCCUGGGAUCAUCCCUAUAUGAAGUGGCAGACCUGGAAUUGCUCCCUGUUUCAAAACAUGUAAGCUCCUCAAGAACAGGAACUUUUGUCUGUUUGUUCAUUGUUGUAUCUCCAAUCCUUAGAACUAUGCCUGGCUCAAAGUAGGUGCUCAAUAAAAUAUCUGCUGAAUGAA